rnacentral:lncRNA from 1 species
UCUUUUCUUUUCUUUUCUAAUAUACCAGGGAUUGAACGCAGGGACACUUAAACCCUGAGCUACAUCCCCAGCCCUUUUUAUAUUGUAUUUUCACAUAUGAUCUCACUAAGUUCCUUAUGGUCUCACUAAGUUGCUGAGGCUGCCUUUGAAUUUAGCAAUCAUCCUACUUUAGCCUCUCAAGCUGCUGGGAUUACAGUUGUGUGCCACUGUGUCCGGCCUACAUGAAUUUUUUUAUAAAAGAAACUGUAUUACUCCAUUAACCGAUUGCAUUGGUAGGAACAUCAGAUUAUUGGGGUACAGAAAAAAUAAAGAAAAUUUCUUCUGUAUGUCUGUUAUUGCUUUCUGAGCUUUGGUAGAUUUUGGAGACGUCUGGUAAGGUUAGUGAUAUACUCUGAGAAAUUUUGAGAUUGUGGUCUGAUACAGAAAUUAAGAUGAUUGGCUACUGAAGGGCUUAAGAUAGCCCAAGAUAAUUUUUGUUCUCCAUACAGAACCCUGCCUUUCUACCCUCAUGGUGGUCUAGUUAGAUAAAAUCAAGUACUCUGAAGGUUCUUUGAUGUAGAUGCGACUGUAUAGAGAACUUGAGUUCACUGCUGUAAAAAUCUUGUGCCUCUCCUUUUACCUUCCUUAGGAGUAGACACCAUGUCAGAUUUCUUGGGCAGAGUUUACCUUUGGAUACUUCACAGGUCCCAUGUCCUCAAUCACUAUCCUCUCCAGGAGCUGCCACAAAGUACCCACAGCUGCCCUGGUCCCUGCAGGGUGAACAGAACUUGAGGCCCUGGGCCAGCUCCUCCUAGGGGACAGCCUGAGAUGUAGGGUGCAGCCUCUCAGGGAAGCUGCUGGGGGCUCUGAUCUGAGGAAUCUCCUGGAACAGGCCUCAUCUAGACUGCUACUUUGGUCCCUGGGACAGUGAUCC